UACAGAGGUCCCAAGCGUUGUUCGGAUUCAUUGGGCGUAAAGGGUGCGUAGGCGGCGCGGUAAGUCGGGUGUGAAAUCUCGGAGCUUAACUCCGAAACUGCAUUCGAUACUGCCGUGCUUGAGGACUGGAGAGGAGACUGGAAUUUACGGUGUAGCGGUGAAAUGCGUAGAUAUCGUAUGGAAGACCAGUGGCGAAGGCGGGUCUCUGGACAGUUCCUGACGCUGAGGCACGAAGGCCAGGGGAGCAAACGGG
rnacentral:rRNA from 1 species